UAGUCCACGCCGUAAACGAUGGACACUAGUUGUUGGGAUUUAUUUCAGUGACUAAGCGAAAGUGAUAAGUGUCCCACCUGGGGAGUACGGUCGCAAGAUUGAAACUCAAAGGAAUUGACGGGGGCCCGCACAAGCGGUGGAGCAUGUGGUUUAAUUCGAUGACACGCGAGGAACCUUACCAGGGCUUAAAUGUAUAGUGACAUAUCUAGAGAUAGAUUUUUCUUCGGACACUUUACAAGGUGCUGCAUGGUUGUCGUCAGCUCGUGCCGUGAGGUGUCAGGUUAAGUCCUAUAACGAGCGCAACCCUUUUCGUUAGUUGCCAGCAUUUAAAGAUGGGGACUCUAACGAGACUGCCGGUGCAAACCGCGAGGAAGGUGGGGAUGACGUCAAAUCAUCACGGCCCUUACGUCCUGGGCUACACACGUGCUACAAUGGUAUGGACAAUGAGCAGCCACUAUGCAAAUAGGAGCGAAUCUAUAAACCAUAUCACAGUUCGGAUCGG
rnacentral:rRNA from 1 species